CGCUGGCAGCCUAUCACCCUGCAGCUCUUGACUGGUUACCCAUUGAGGCUAAGCAGGGUUGAGCAAGGACAGUACCAGGAUGGGAGACCUCUUGGAGAAAACGGUCUGUGUCAAAGU
ensembl:rRNA 5S_rRNA 5S ribosomal RNA